GUGGUGGCUCAGUGGUAGAGCCUUCGCCUAGCAUGUGUGAAGCCCUGGGUUCAAGCCUCAGCACCACA
rnacentral:tRNA from 1 species